AAGCAAUGAGGAUAUACUCGAGUCUUUGGAAUGCAGAUGAUUGGGCUACAAGAGGAGGACUUGUCAAGACUGAUUGGAGCCAAGCACCCUUUAGUGCUUCUUACAGAAACUUCAGUGCUAAUGCAUGUAUUCCCAGUUCUUCAUCUUCUUGCAGUUCCAAUACUACAACUUCAACAAGCAAUUCAUGGUUGAAUGAAGAGUUAGAUAACACAAGUCAAGAGAGGCUCAAAUGGGUGCAGAAGAAUUACAUGGUUUAUAAUUACUGCACUGAUUCUAAACGAUUUUCACAAGGAUUUCCAGCAGAUUGUGUUCAGAACAGCUAAGCAUUUACAGUGAAAAAUAGUGUAUUCUUUUAUUUAUUGUACUGAUUCUUUUAUUGUUCUGCAUCAACCAGAAGAUGCAUUAAUUAUUGAGGAUUAGAAACAUCUUAUUAUUGUAUUGACAAUGAAAUAGAUAUAUUCUUUUAUAGCUUAGUGUUUUGGAUAUGAAAAAUUAUGCUACUACAGCUCUUUUGCAAAGUACAAAAGAGGUGAAUUGGCAUCAUUUUUAAAAUUCCUAUCUAAAUUGAUGAGAAGGCGGGAGAAAAGUCAAAUUAUUUAACUUAAUUAUGUAAUAAUAUUUGUUUAAUCAAAUAAUCCAUUUCUAAUUACCCUAUAAUUGAUUAUGACAAAUAAAAAAAUCGUUAUAAUUACUAAAUUAUAUACUCCCUCCGUCCCAUUUUAUGUGAGGUUGUUUGACUCGACACAAAGUUUAAGAAAGAAAGGAAGACUUUUAAAACUUGUGAUUUAAAAUGAAUGAUAUAAAUUUGUGUGACGGUAAAUCAUUUCAUUAAGGGCAAAAUAGAAAUUUUAUAGUUAAAUUGAUAGUACUUAAUAUAUAAAUAUGUCAUUCUUUUUGGGAUUGACUAAAAUAUAAGUAAGUCAAAUAAAUUGGGAUAGAGGGAGUAAUUAUAUAAACAUCGAAUGAAUUAAAUGCACUUUGGAAAGUGCACAUGAUAAACAGUGAAAAGCCCAAUCGAAAAUGGUAAGAAACUGACCCAAUCUAAUUUCCUCCGUCACAAAAUAUUGUAUAUCAUUUAGAGCAACUUUCACAUAUAGCAAAUAAAAAAAUCAUAUUUGUAUGCUAUAGCAAAAUUUGCAUAAUUGCGUUCCAUAACAAACAUAUAUAUGUAUAAUUCGCUAUACAUAUACAAUUGAAAGCUGUCUAUUUCGCUAUACAUAUAUACAAAAAGAAGCAAUUGUAUAAUUCGUUGGCUCCUCUUCAGAAUUGUAUAAUUUCGUUGGCAGGCCAUUUGUAUAAAUUGUUGUUUAAGCCUUCUCGUUUGUAUAAAUUCGUUGACAAAAAUAUUUGUAUAUCAAAAAUCGCUCUCUUUCGCUUUAUACAAACAUAAAUUAUACAUUAUACAAACAUAAAACUGGGCAGGGGAAUGUUUUUAUUGUAUAAUUAUAAGUGUAUAGGAUGAAUAUACAUGUAUUUGCAUGUGUAUAUAUAAUUUUCUCGCGCUUUAUACAAAUAGAAACACAAUUUAUACAAUUCUGUUGUAUAAAACGAGAAAGAGAGAAAGGCAAAAGAGAACUGGGCAGAGAAAUAUUUUUAUUAUAUAAUUAUAAGUGUAUAAGACGAAUAUAUAUGUAUUUGCAUGUAUAUAUACAAUUUUCUCUCACUUUAUAUAAACAGAAACGCAAUUUAUACACUUCUGUUGUAUAAAGCGAGAGAGGCGAGCACAGAGGGAGUGAGCGAGAGAGGAGAGUGGCGAGCGAGAGUUUGAGGGAGAGAGGCGCUGACAAACAGUUUGCUACAUGACACAAUUAAAUCAAAAUGUGAUUAUACCAUUUAAUUUGAAUUAAUAGUUAGCCAUUAUGUACAAUUUUCCCUAUCAUUUAUAUGCCUUAAUCAACAAAUAUCAUAUAUUUAGUAAAAUAUCAAAUGAUUCACUCUUAAUUUUAAAUAGAGAUAUGACACAAGCAUUCUUAGACUAUGAUCGAAAUUUCGGAGAGACACAUAAACUUAACUAAGGUUCUAUCACCCCGAACUCAUUUUUUGAUAUUUUUGUGCACCUUUUAUGCUGACGUGACACCUUCAACCACCCAAGUUGACUGUGUUUGUACACAUGUGUCUGCCAUGUUUGUAAAUGUUUUCUAAAAUUUUUAAAUUUGUUUUUUUUUAAAAUAUUUUUAUUUUUUUUAUCAUAUAUUUAAAUUAAGUUAAUAUAUAUUUUCUUACCUUGUAUCUAAACUUUUUUUUUAAAACUUCAUUCAUUGUUUUUUUUCUUUUAUUUACUCUUUUUAUUUUCUUUGUCUUUCCUUUUGAUUUGAUUUCAAACAUCUUGUAUUUAAGAUAAGUUAAUUUCGAAGGGAUAGCAAAAUAAGUGAAGAAAUCAAAUUAAACAUUAAAAAAAUUAAAACGUUAAAAUUAAAGGAUGCUUUUUUUAAAAAAAAAAAUAAGUAUAAUUUUUAAAAAUAAUUAAAAGUGAAAAGAUAAGAAAUUAAUGAAAGAAAAAAUAUAAAAAGUUUAAAGUGAGAAACAAAAUAAAAUAAAUAUUUUACAAAGAAAGAAAUGUAAAUAAUUAAAUAUAUAUAAGUUUUAAUAUCAAUAAAUAAGUGUACUAACUAAUUAUAAAGUUACCACUUAAAAAAUUACAUGUGUUUAAUUUUGUUCACUCAUCACUUGCCUUAUAAUGUAUUUAUUUCAUUUUAAAUUAGUUUAGAAGGUAAUAGAACCCUUGUUAAGUUUAUACGUAUCUUUGAGAUUUCAGUCAUAAGAAAAAAGAAGAAGUCAUAUUCUAAGGAUACUUGUAAUUUUUAAAUACCUCGAUUUCUUUUAAAUCCAUCAGGUGAUACCAUUUCUAAUCUGACCAAAAAAAGAUACCAUUUCUAAUAUUCUGGACACCAUAUAGUGCACGAAACUUGUAUUUUCUUCUUGGUGUUUGAGCCUGGAGAAUCAUGGUUAAUAAAUAUUAAAUGAACGAAAAUCAAAUGCACAUUGGAAAGUAUACAUGAUAAAGAAAUGAAAUUAAAAAGGCCAAUCGAGGAGCAAAAGUUACACGAAUGUAGUAGAACUGUGGGAUUAUAUGCACAUCUUGAAUUGAAAUUUGUAAAAAGCCAGCUGGUUGGUCCACAGAUAAUAUAGCCACGCUAUAUAAUCCCCUGCUAGACAAAUAUUUUAAGGGGUGACUAAACCCAACUAGUAGAAAUAAUACAAUGUAGGUACACUUGAAUAAACAAAGGGAAACAAUACACAAGUUGAAGUAGUUCGAAUGAUCAACGAGAGUUGUAGUGUAGUGAUAAAUACUUCUUCAUUCUUAAUUAGAAGUUUUAGAUUCGAGUCUCCGGGGUAUAGAGUCGCCUUUGUUAGAGAGCCUAUUCGAUUUGAGAUUUUCCAAUGCGAAUUUAGAUUUAGUCGGACUCCAGUUCCAAUGAAAAUGAUAGUGUGAGGGUUGGAAAGACUCACCAUAUAUGUAUGGGCUGUCACUUAGCUUUGAUGCCAUCAUUUUUAAUCCUGUUUCCAGCUCAAUAUAUGCUCAAAUCUUUUUUUCCUGCUUUCGGUUUUACUUUGAACCUUCCUCUUUAUUUCCUUAAGCAUAACCCCACACGCUCUAGCUACUUCUUUGUUGCUGAAGUGGGGUGGUAUAAACCCUUAUAAAACCUCACUCCAACUCUAAUUCAUCCAACAAAUUAAAGUUUGAAAUCUUUAGAACUAAACAUGGCUUUUUCUUCUUCUAAGUUAAUACUACUUUUGAUGUGUUUUAUGAUCAGUGCUUUUGGCAUUGCAAUUGCAGCCAAGUUCGAUCAAGAAUUCGACGUCACAUGGGGUGAUGGCAGAGCAAAAAUACUCAACAAUGGCGACCUCCUUACUCUCUCACUUGACAAAAUCUCUGGCUCUGGUUUUCAAUCCAAGAAUGAAUAUCUCUUUGGUAAAAUUGACAUGCAGCUCAAACUUGUCGCUGGAAAUUCUGCGGGCACCGUCACUGCCUACUAUGUAAUUCCCUUAUUUUCUUUUUUCUUAAAUGAUUUUUGAGUUUAUUGAGUUGAAAUGGAAUUGAACUUCUUUUUUGAAAAUUUAUUGCAGUUGUCAUCACAAGGACCAACACAUGAUGAGAUAGAUUUUGAAUUCUUGGGAAAUCUAAGUGGUGAUCCUUAUACUCUCCACACUAAUGUAUUUAGCCAAGGCAAAGGAAACAGAGAGCAGCAAUUCCAUCUUUGGUUUGACCCUACUGCUGAUUUCCACACAUAUUCAAUCACUUGGAAUCCACUACGCAUCAUGUAAGUAAUUAAAGAUUCGAUCUUUCUUCAAAAAUAUGUGACUUUUUAAAUCAAAUCUUGAUUUGGGGUUAUCUUAUUUUUGGUUUAACAGAUUUUAUGUGGACGGAACGCCCAUUAGAGAAUACAAGAAUAGCGAAUCAAUGGGAGUUUCAUAUCCGAAGAACCAAGCAAUGAGGAUUUACUCGAGUCUUUGGAAUGCAGAUGAUUGGGCUACAAGAGGAGGACUUGUCAAGACUGAUUGGAGCCAAGCACCCUUUAGUGCUUCUUACAGAACUUCAAAUCUAACACAUUCUUUUGGGAUAAACCUUGAUUUGGGGUUCUCUUAUUUUUUGAUUGAACAGAUUCUAUGUGGACGGAAUGCCCAUUAGAGAAUACAAGAAUAGUGAAUCAAUGGGAGUUUCAUAUCCGAAGAACCAACCAAUGAGGAUAUAUUCAAGUCUUUGGAAUGCAGAUGAUUGGGCUACAAGAGGAGGACUUGUCAAGACUGAUUGGAGCCAAGCACCCUUUAGUGCUUCUUACAGAAACUUCAGUUCUAAUGCUUGUAUUCCCAGUUCUUCAUCUUCUUGCAGUUCCAAUACUACAACUUCAACAAGCAAUUCAUGGUUGAAUGAAGAGUUAGAUAACACAAGCCAAGAGAGGCUCAAAUGGGUGCAGAAGAAUUACAUGGUUUAUAAUUACUGCACUGAUUCUAAACGAUUUUCACAAGGAUUUCCAGCAGAUUGUCUUCAGAAUAGCUGAGCAUUUACAGUGAAAUUUUUUGUAUUCUUUUACUUUUGAUCUAUAAAACUAUUAUAUUGAUUCUUUUAUUGUUCUGCACCAACCAGUAGCAGAGGAUUACAAACAUCUUAAUUUUUAGUUUUGUUACUGAGGGAUCGUUUGGUGAAAUUACACUGUGUGUUUGCCCCAAGUUUUCUUAGGAAUAUUUGACUAUUUCAAAAAAUAUAAUUUAUUUCCAUAGUUCUAAAAACUAUUAAAAAUAUCCAUAAAUUUAUAUUAUCUAUUUAUAGUGAAUAUGCUCAAUUAAAAAAUAACCUUAUAACAUAAUUGAUAACAAUCAACAACAACAAAAUAACAAUAUAUGCAAGAGCAAUACAUUAAUCACAUAUUCAAACUUGUCAUUGAUUCGGUUAUAAUUAUAAUCCAUUAGAAACAAUUUGUUCUUUUUUCUCAAUUUUGUCACUGAAAUUAGAAUUCGGAUUCUUCCGGAGGAGGUGGUAACAAACUGUUCCUUAAUAUAAUUUUCCCACAUUCUACGGACAAUCUCUUCCCUACAAGCAUUCAUUGUUAGAUUAGAAGACAGAGAAGACAAAACAAUAUUGUUACUCUGAGUCGAUUGUUCGUCAUCUUCAUCAGUAACCAUAUCAUCACGUUUAUGUUCAUUGAAUAUUUCAUCACUGUUUUGAUUUUCACGCAAAAGAAUUAUGUAAUAUGGCACAAUCAACUACUACUUUCACUUGCAUGCCUAAAUCAUAGUUGUUCAUGUCUUGUUGUAGUAUUCUGAAUCUACUUUUCCACGCACCAAAUGUUCUUUCAAUUACAUUACGCAAAGAGACAUGUCUAUAGUUAAAUAACUCAUUGUCAUGCUUAGGCUCUCUUUCACUUUUCUUGUAGUCCUGCAAAUAAUAUCACAUUCCUUUGUUACUUAAUAGAUAGAGAUGUUUAAUAUGAUUGGUGAGCAUGUUGUUUAAUAGAUAGAGGAGUAAUCUUGUUAUUUAUUGGUAGUAAUAGAUAGAUAUGGUAGAUACAAAAUAAUGGAUUUUUUUUAUAAAAUAUAGAAGUUUGGGGGUGAUUUUUGAAUUUUUUAAAAUUCUCAAGUACUAUAACUUGACCCAAAAACUAGUUUUUUUUAGUAUUUGGAAACUUGAAAUUCUUGACAAAUAUAUUUGCCAAGUUAUGUAGCAAAACACCGCUGGCCAAGUGUUUUCCAAAUUUUUUCCAAGUUUUCCCAAGUUUUAUUUGGGGCCAAACAGGUCCUAUAUCUCUUGUUAUAUUUUCGGUCUAAAUAUACCACCUUCUAUUAUACUUUUGGUCCAAAUAUUUCAUUAUACUUUGACUCAAAUUUAUUCUCGAUCUUAACAAAACAAAUAUGUUUCAAGCUGAGAAUCAAAUAACUUGCUCUGAAUUUUAAAUAAUUUGAUUUCUUUUUAAAUCCAUUAGGUGAUACCAUUUCUAGUAUUCUGGAUACCAUAAAGUGCAGGGGAACUUUUGCCUAUUUUCUAAUAUUUUUGUUGUUUGAACAUGGAUGAUCAUGGUUAGUAAAAUAUUGAUCAAUGAUCAAAAUGCAAAUGCACAAUGGAAAGUGUACACGUUAAAUAAAUGAAAUUGAAAGGGCCAAUCGAGGAGCAAAAAAUUACCCGAAUGUAUUAGGAGUACAGCCGGAUUAGAUGCAUAUCUUGAAUUGAAAUUUGUAAAAUGUUAGCUGUUUGGUCCACAGAUAAUAUUGCCACGGGAUGUAACCUCUUGCUACUCAAAUACCUUAAGGCGGUACUGUAGGUACACUUGAAUAAACAAAGGGAACAAUACACAAGUUUAACUAGUUCCAAUAAUAACGAGAGUUAUGGUGGAAUGGUAAAUAUUUCUUCAUUAAAUUUCAAAUUAGAGUCUCACCUUUGUUAUAGAUCCUUUAUCCUCCAAUGUGGGUUUUUUCAAUGCAAAUUCAAAUUUAGUGAGGCUUUGAUAUAAAUACCGAACACCAAAUUAUAAAAAAAAACAAAAAAAACUAGUUCCAAUGAGAAUGAUAGUGCGAGUCUUGGAAAGACUGACCAUAUAUGGGCUGUCACUUAGCUUUGAUGCCAUCAUUUUUUAUCCUGUUUCCAGCUCAAUCUUUUUUUUCUUGCUUUCUGUAUUACUUUGAACCUUCCUCUUUAUUUCCUCAAGCCUAUCCCCACACGCUCUACCUACUUAUUUGUUGGUGAGGUGGGGGUGGUAUAAACCCUUAUAAAACCCCAUCUAGCUUUCCAACUCCAAUUCAUCCAACAAACUUUGAAAUCUUAAGAAUUAAACAUGGCUUCUUCUUCUAAGUUAGUACUUGUAAUGUGUUUUAUGGUUAGUGCUUUUGGCAUUGCAAUUGGAAACACGUUAGAUCAAGAAUUUGAGAUAACAUGGGGUGAUGGCAGAGCAAAGAUACUCAACAAUGGCGACCUCCUUACUCUCUCACUUGACAAAAUCUCUGGCUCUGGUUUUCAAUCGAAGAAUGAAUAUCUCUUUGGUAAAAUUGACAUGCAGCUCAAACUAGUCACUGGAAAUUCUGCUGGCACUGUCACUGCUUAUUAUGUAAUUCCCUUAAUUUCUUUUCUUAUAUGAUUUUUGAGCUACGUGUUUAUUGAAUUGAAAUGAAAUUGAACCUUUUUAUUUUUUGAAAUUUAUUGCAGUUGUCAUCACAAGGACCAACACAUGAUGAGAUAGAUUUUGAAUUCUUGGGAAAUUUAAGUGGUGAUCCUUAUACUCUCCACACUAACGUAUUUAGCCAAGGCAAAGGAAACAGAGAUCAGCAAUUCCAUCUCUGGUUUGACCCUACUGCUGAUUUCCACACCUAUUCCAUCACUUGGAAUCCACAACGCAUCAUGUAAGUAGUUAAACAUUCAAUCUUACUUCAAAUCUAACACAUUCUUUUGGGAUAAACCUUGAUUUGGGGUUCUCUUAUUUUUUGAUUGAACAGAUUCUAUGUGGACGGAAUGCCCAUUAGAGAAUACAAGAAUAGUGAAUCAAUGGGAGUUUCAUAUCCGAAGAACCAACCAAUGAGGAUAUAUUCAAGUCUUUGGAAUGCAGAUGAUUGGGCUACAAGAGGAGGACUUGUCAAGACUGAUUGGAGCCAAGCACCCUUUAGUGCUUCUUAUAGAAACUUCAAUGCGAAUGCUUGUAUUCCCAAUUCCCCGUCUUCUUGCAAUUCCAAUACUACAACUUCAACUAACAGUUCAUGGUUGAAUGAAGAGUUAGAUAACACAAGCCAAGAGAGGCUCAAAUGGGUGCAGAAGAAUUACAUGGUUUAUAAUUACUGCACUGAUUCUAAGCGAUUUCCUCAAGGAUUUCCAGCAGACUGUCUUCAGAAUAGCUGAGUAUUUACAGUGAA
rnacentral:lncRNA from 1 species